rnacentral:rRNA from 1 species
AUUGAACGCUUGCGGCAGGCCUAACACAUGCAAGUCGAGCGAGCGGCGGACGGGUGAGUAAUGUAUGGGGACUGCCCGAUAGAGGGGGAUAACUAAUGGAAACGGUGGCUAAUACCGCAUACUAUCGGAUAACCCAUAGGGGAUUAGCUAGUAGGUGGGGUAAAGGCUCACCUGGGCGACGAUCUCUAGCUGGUCUGAGUGGAUGAUCAGCCACACUGGGACUGCACCACGGCCCAUACUCCUACGGAGGCAUCAGUGGGGAAUAUUGCACAAUGGGCGCAAUCCUGAUGCAGCCAUGCCGCGUGUAUGAAGAAGGCCUUAGGGUUGGAAAGUACUUUCAGCGGGAAGUCGUUACCCGCAGAAGAAGCACCGGCUAACUACGUGCCAGCAGCCGCGGUAAUUC